AUUUAACUUGAAAAAAAUUUUAAAAAUUUUACAGAGGUGGGGUCUUGCUAUGUAGCCCAGGCUGGUCUCAAUCUCCUGAGUUCAAGUGAUUCUCCUACCUUGGCCUCCAAAGUUCUAGGAUUCCAGGUGUGGUCGCUGUGUCCUGCCACCAAAGCCUCCUGAGGGCUGUCCUGGUGUGAUUAGAGGGCUCUGAGCAGGGCCAGCUGUGCCAUCUGUGCUUUUCCUUUGUCCUGUUACCUGCCCUUGCACUGGGCCGUUAGGGCACUGAGAUCAUCCCUCUCCAUCCUGUCAUGCUGUGCUGUCAUCUUUAGUCUGUCAUGCUGUGCUGUCAUCUUUAGUCAAGCCAGAGGAUAUGGUGCUUCGCUGUGUUUCACACACAGCUGUUCCCAUUGGGUUCAAAUGGGCCUGUUUAGUUAAGGCUUUGUGUGAGGUAUGUGGGAAGUGGGUUUCACUUUCAAGAAGGCAGCAUGGAGCUGGGGCUUGGCCUCUGCUGUCUGGUAUAAACGAGCCUGGGGAUCAGGUGUAGCUGCAGACACGGCUGGGCGCAGAGGGAGUGGCCUCAUUUCCCAGCUACCUACUCCUGCCUUGCCUCACUCGCCGGGGAAUGUGAUGUGUAGGUCUUGAGAAGAAGGCCCAGGUCCUGCAGCCGGGUGAAAAGACAACUGUGGCCUACCACGAGGCCGGACACGUGGUGGUGGGCUGGCUCCUGGAGCACGUGGACCCCCUGCUGAAGGUUGGUCCUCCCACCCUGAGUGAGUCCACCUGGCAGGCUUGGGCCUGGUAUCUCUGGGCCAGCCUGUGGUCAUGUGGGCACGGUACAUUCAAGGAUUGGCCCUUUAGCUUUUUAAGGAAUAAACUGCUCUAGAAUUUGUCAAAAGAUCCCUUCGGGGUGGGAAAGCAGGGCAGUGGGUUCCAAAUGGGGCCUUGGCCAUGCGACUCCAGGGAGCAGCCUCAGUGUUAAACCCGCCUCACUCCUGAGCUCUGGAUUCGACCGUUGGCCUCUCCAGAGACUCUGCAGGGUGGGCAGAGCGUAGGUGGUUUCCACGUGAAGCUCCCAAAGGCGGGUGCACUUCUUGGGGCAUCCCCAUGGUGUAUGGGGGGCCUGGGUCAGGCUGUCUUCUCUCCUGUUCCAGUAGAAGGACCUGUGGUCAGAGCUAGGGUCAGGUGGCCUGGCCGCUCCAGGGUGGCUCCUGGAGGAAGUGGGGACAGUGUUUGGGGUGAUGAGGGCAUGUGUCCUGUCCUCAGGUGUCCAUCAUACCCCAGGGCAAGGGGCUUGGCUACGCACAGUACCUGCCCCGGGAGCAGCAGCUCUACACCCAGGAGCAGCUCUUCGACCGCACGUGCAUGAUGCUCGGGGGCCGGGUGGCCGAGCAGCUGUGCUCCGGGUAGAUCACUGUGGGGGCUCAGGACGACCUGAGGAAGGUCACCCAGAGCGCCUACGCCCAGGUAAGGGUGGGCAUCCCCCGGCACGGGCCGCAGGAGGCUCUGUUGGGCGCAGGCUCAUCCUGGGUUCCGCACUGGCAGGUUGCGCAGUUUGGGGUGAGUGAGAAGCUGGGCCAGGUGUCCUUCGACUUUUCCCGACACGGCAAGGCCCUGGUGGAGAAGCCGUACGGCGAGGCGAGCGCCCAGCUCCUUGAUGACGAGGUCCGGCACCUCGUCAGUGCCACCUGCAGGCGCACCCUGGACCUGCUGACACAGUGCCGGGAGCAUGUGGAGAAGGUGGGCCAGCGGCUCCUGGAGAAGGCAGACAUGGUGGAGCUGCUGGGCGCCCGGCCCUUCGCGGAGAAGUCUACCUAUGAGGAGUUUGUAGAGGGCGCGGGCAGCCUGGAGGAGGACACAUCCCUUCCCGAGGGGCUGAAGGGUUGGAACCGUGGACAGGAGGAGGAAGGUGUGGAGAGCAGCCUGUGCAGGGGCUCUGCGUAGCCUGUGGCGGUCGCCUGCACCUGCUGCUGGGUGGAGUUGGGGUGACUGCCACUUACCUGGGGCCUUGGCAAAGCAGCUGCGGAAUCUCACCCAAAACAAAUUAAAACGUGACAACUGUGAAUGGGCGUUUUAGAGGAGGGUGCUCUGAGCCCACAUGCAGGGAGUAGGAGUGGGAGUGGGCAGAGGGGGUACCCUGAGUCCCUGGGCCCUCCCGCUGGAGGACAGUUGGGUCCAGGGUUAGACGGGAGAGGCCCCAGGGCUCUGGCCCCUGUGGUGCUGAGGAAGGCAUGACUGUAGCUUCAAGAGGGGCUUGCGUGGGGCACCUUGGAGACACCAGGCCUUCCUGGGGCCUCCGUGGAGGAGCAUUGAUAUGGUCAUAAAGACACUCGGAGGAGCCUGGGCCCAGCACAGAAACCCUCACCGUUUGGUAGAAUUCAGAAUUGGAGAACGUCAGCCAGGCAUCAAGGGGAAGUCAGGGUUCUAAAGCAGCUGUUUGGAUUGGUAGAAGCCGAUCUGCUGUUCUGUCCUUAGAAAGGAAAAAGCCCACACCGCCCACAGGUGCAUGGCUGAGGGAGCAGGUGGAGCUGUGGGGCCUCACACCUGGGUUCCCCAUCAGGGCACCCCCGCCACCCCUGCCUGCGCCUUGGCUCCGUGGCAGCACUGCUGAGUGUGAGGGAAUUGAGUUGCUUAGAAAACCUGGCCCCUGUGCUUGGCUGGAGGUGCUUUCACUGCGGGAUGUGUCUGGACCAUCAGUUCUGUUCCUGUGACCCCUUUUUGUUGGAGUCUUGGAGUGGGAAGCUCUGCAGGGCCCCAGCCGGCUCAGGGGUGUUUGUGGAGAGACUGUGGUCCUGAAGCCCCAGCACGUGGCUGCCCCUGGCCCUGGUACCUGUUCGUGAACACUUUUCCUGGGGUUGGGUAGCUCCUAAUUUUUAUUAGGAGGGCCCCUUCUGGGCUCUGAGCUUGAGGCCCUUUGGUGCCUUGAACUGAGGGAGGCUUUGCUUUUUCUUAUCUGGGGUGUGUGGGACUUGAUGAGGAUGCCCCGUGUGCUUUCUGCAGCACACGACCCGCCUCCAGGACUCGCUGGGGUCAGCAACAGCAGGGCAGUGUCAGCCUCAACGACUGCCUUGGGGUGGGUGGAUGCGUGUCUAGGUCACCUGGGAUGGGACCUGGGGAAGACGCCCGUUUGCAGAUGUCCUGGGUGAGCGGCCGGAGGGGGAGGCCCUGCUUGUGGGUCACCUGGGAUGGGACCUGGGAAGAUGCCCGUUUGCAGAUGUCCUGGGUGAGCGGCCGGAGGGGGAGGCCCUGCUUGCUGCCCCGGGCACUGUUUGUUCUCAGCCUCUCUCUCGACCUAGGCCAGAUCAGACACUGGGGCUUUGUAGUAUAUUUUAUAAAUCGCUUGUUAUGUUGGCCUCGGAGCCUCAAAAAUAUAAUUUCCAACUGGGGGUGAACAGAUUCAACUUUUGCUGUCUAUAAAAUGCAUAUCAUUGGACUA
rnacentral:sRNA from 1 species